rnacentral:rRNA from 1 species
CUACGGGCCGCUGCAGUGGGGAAUAUUGCACAAUGGAGGAAACUCUGAUGCAGCAACGCCGCGUGGAGGAUGACAUUUUUCGGAGCGUAAACUCCUUUUAUAUAGGAAGAAGAUGACGGUACUAUAUGAAUAAGCGCCGGCUAACUCCGUGCCAGCAGCCGCGGUAAUACGGAGGGCGCAAGCGUUACUCGGAAUCACUGGGCGUAAAGAGCGUGUAGGCGGAUUAAAAAGUCAGAAGUGAAAUCCUAUAGCUUAACUAUAGAACUGCUUCUGAAACUCUUAAUCUAGAAUAUGGGGGAGGUAGAUGGAAUUUCUGGUGUAGGGGUAAAAUCCGUAGAGAUCAGAAGGAAUACCGAUUGCGAAGGCGAUCUACUAGAACAUUAUUGACGCUGAGACGCGAAAGCGUGGGGAGCAAACAGGAUUAGAUACCCCGGUAGUC